rnacentral:ncRNA from 2 species
GUCUCCGAUGGGGAUGGAGUCCCCCGACAACCGCCGCAAGGCUGAUGACUCCUACCGAACG